GAUGAAGAACGUAGCGAAAUGCGAUAAGUAAUGUGAAUUGCAGAAUUCAGUGAAUCAUCGAAUCUUUGAACGCACAUUGCGCCCCUUGGUAUUCCGAGGGGCAUGCCUGUUCGAGCGUCAUAUUAACCACUCCCGCUUGCGGGGUCUUGGGCUUCGCCUCCGGGCGGGCCUUAAAAUCAGUGGCGGUGCCGUCGGGCUCUACGCGUAGUAAAUUUUCUCGCGAUAGGGUCCCGGUGGAUGCUUGCCAACAACCCCCAACUUCUUAAGGUUGAACUCGGAUCAGGUAGGGAUACCCGCUGGACUUAAGCAUAUCAAUAAGCGGAGGA
rnacentral:misc_RNA from 1 species